AAAUGACUCUCGGCAACGGAUAUCUUGGCUCUCGCAUCGAUGAAGAACGUAGCGAAAUGCGAUACUUGGUGUGAAUUGCAGAAUCCCGUGAACCAUCGAGUCUUUGAACGCAAGUUGCGCCCGAAGCCAUUAGGUUGAGGGCACGCCUGCCUGGGCGUCACGC
rnacentral:rRNA from 1 species